UCAACUUUGUGUAUUUUAACUUCUGACCCACUGGAAUUGUGAUACAGUGAACUAUAAGUGAAAUAAUCUGUCUGUAUACAAUUGUUGGGAAAAUUACUUGUGUCAUGCACAAAGUAGAUGUCCUAACCGACUUGCAGUUUGUUAACAAGAAAUUUGUGGAGUGGUUGACAAACGAGUUUUAAUGACUCCAACCUAAGUGUAUGUAAACUUCUGACUUCAACUGUAUUACAAAAAGAGAUUCAGGUUUGUACUUGCAAUGUGCUUAAAAGCUCAGUGUUGUUAGAUCUUUUAUUGUCAGAAUGUUGUCUUGAUAUCAGUGCACUGUAGCUAAUCAUUAUCCCAGGAAUAGGGAAAUGUAGUUGUUUCUUAUCUCAUAGCACACACAUUGACCAGCAAACAGACUCUGAUGUUAAACUUGGGUUGACUUUCACUUUAUCCUCUUUCUCUGUAGCUUGGUUUCGUGAACUUACUGGACUACCCAGAACCAGACGUGUGCCUAAGGACGUCCAAAUUCAAUAAAAUCUAACAGAAAACGUGACCAUUGGCUGGACAAUCCUGGACUUUGAGAGACUGGCGGUUAAGAAAAGACAUGGAUGAUCUGUGGAGGAAGCUGAGCCAAGUCCCGUCCAGGGUUUUCUUCAUCGUCUAGUCCUGUGAGGAAUCGUCAAGGUGAUUGUUGCGCACACUUAUCUUUAGACGGCAUCCUUCGC